GUAUACCUAUUUUGGGGGCGUCACAGUUGGUAUCAAAGCUUAGGGAUAUGAUCCUUGGCUAAGAUGUGAGACAAGAACUAGGAGGGGAGAGACGGGGAAUUCCUUCACUAGUAUGACCUACCUAAGUUUAUUUGGUAUUUAAUUGGUUGGUUAGAGUAUAGGGAUAAUAUGUGAUAUGUUAAUUAACCCUUGUUUUGUGGCAGUAUUUGAAAAUGACAUCCGAGAAUGUUGAGAACAUCAAUGGAGCACAGGAGACCGUUGAGUCUCCACAAAUCAAUAAUCAGGAUAAUGUGCAUCA
rnacentral:lncRNA from 1 species